rnacentral:rRNA from 1 species
CCUACGGGAGGCAGCAGUGAGGAAUAUUGGUCAAUGGCCGAGAGGCUGAACCAGCCAAGUCGCGUGAGGGAAGAAUGUCCUAUGGAUUGUAAACCUCUUUUGUCAGGGAGCAAAGUCACCCAUGUGUGGGUGUUGGAGAGUACCUGAAGAAAAAGCAUCGGCUAACUCCGUGCCAGCAGCCGCGGUAAUACGGAGGAUGCGAGCGUUAUCCGGAUUUAUUGGGUUUAAAGGGUGCGUAGGCGGGUUAUCAGGUCAGCGGUAAAAUCGUGGAGCUAAACUCCAACCUGCCGUUGAAACUGAUAAUCUUGAGUAGGCGAGAGGUAGGCGGAAUGCGUGGUGUAGCGGUGAAAUGCAUAGAUAUCACGCAGAACUCCGAUUGCGAAGGCAGCAUGCCAGCGCCCGACUGACGCUGAAGCACGAAAGCGUGGGUAUCAAACAGGAUUAGAUACCCUUGUAGUC